UGAGGUGCUUAUUUCAAGCUCACUCACUAUCAGUGAAGUGCAGAUCAUCUGCAUGAACGGGAAAGCCAAGUACAAGGCCAGUGAAAAUACAAUCAUUUAGAAGAUUAAAUGAAUGGCAGUAAUGAAGGAAUCACAGGUCAGUGCUGAGACCAAGCUUCUACGCACUAAUGAUGAGAAGAAAUGAGCAUGUCCAACUAUCUCCAUGAACUUUGAUGUCACACUCGUUCCACCAGGACUGAAGUUCAAUAAUUAAUGACUAGCUUGUGCCAUGGAGACUCAGCAUCAACCACACAAGGUAUCGUUUGCAGAGGAUAUAAUCAUUUAUGUGCAUUGGACAAUGGAAAAUCAGGCCCAUGUUGUACGUGUAUUUCCACACUACUGCAGUGGAGGGCACCGACUAAUGUUUAAAGGUCAAAAAGAUACUGGACACAGCAUACACUGGUUUGGAAGCAGUGCUUGUUUUUUCAAUUACUAUGCUGGUACUGCUGAGCCUCCAUGAUACGCUGUGACAACAGCUCUCAUAAGGUUAUGAAAUGGCAGAUUGUGCUGAAAAGUCAGGAAAUGAAGCCGGAGCUGAUGCACUCAAAAGGUUAGAUAUAAAACAUGGAUUUUACGGAAGUCUGCCGGAUUCAAUCCAGCUUGGAAUGGACUCAUGCAGUACUGAUCAUGUUUUUUGCGUAGCUGGCAUCUAAAGGCUGAAAGAAAGAAAUAAUUACACUUGCUUAUUGUGUACUAUACAUUAUGAGAAAAAAAUCAGAAAACUGUAAACAACUGACAUGAC